rnacentral:rRNA from 1 species
CCCUUAGAGUUUGAUCCUGGCUCAGGAUGAACGCUAGCUACAGGCUUAACACAUGCAAGUCGAGGGGCAGCAUGACCUAGCAAUAGGUUGAUGGCGACCGGCGCACGGGUGAGUAACACGUAUCCAACCUACCGGUUAUUCCGGGAUAGCCUUUCGAAAGAAAGAUUAAUACCGGAUAGUAUAACGAGAAGGCAUCUUUUUGUUAUUAAAGAAUUUCGAUAACCGAUGGGGAUGCGUUCCAUUAGUUUGUUGGCGGGGUAACGGCCCACCAAGACAUCGAUGGAUAGGGGUUCUGAGAGGAAGGUCCCCCACAUUGGAACUGAGACACGGUCCAAACUCCUACGGGAGGCAGCAGUGAGGAAUAUUGGUCAAUGGACGAGAGUCUGAACCAGCCAAGUAGCGUGAAGGAUGACUGCCCUAUGGGUUGUAAACUUCUUUUAUAUGGGAAUAAAGUGAGCCACGUGU